rnacentral:lncRNA from 1 species
CAACAAAGAUUCCUUUUUUUUUUCUUUUUUUUUCUAAUUUUUUUGGGCGUGGAGCUUUUUAAGUUUGAUACUAUUGUAAAUUGUACUAUUUGUCAUAAUAUAUUAAAAACUUUAAGGAGAGUGUGACAUCUCUUGCCUAUGAGGUCAUGACUCAUCUUCGGUGCAUAAGGUAGGGUAGGGUGGGCUCACUUUUAAAGUGAGACCUAUUAUUU